UACGUAGGGGGCUAGCGUUGUCCGGAAUCAUUGGGCGUAAAGAGCGUGUAGGCGGCCCGGUAAGUCCGCUGUGAAAGUCGGGGGCUCAACCCUCGAACGCCGGUGGAUACUGUCGGGCUAGAGUGCGGAAGAGGCGAGUGGAAUUCCUGGUGUAGCGGUGAAAUGCGCAGAUAUCAGGAGGAACACCGAUGCGAAGGCAGCUCGCUGGGACGUAACUGACGCUGGAGACGCGAAAGCGUGGGGAGCAAACAGG
rnacentral:rRNA from 1 species